rnacentral:lncRNA from 1 species
CGGGUUAGGCACAGUUUGCGGACAGCACAUCCCUCAACCUCUCCCGAUGUUAAGUUCUCCAAGCGAAAUCAGCAUUGACGUCGGUGCAGCCGCUGCGGAGGUCACUGCGGUUCGGUUAGGGGAGUCCGUUCCAGCGGCAAGCGACAGGGAGAAAAAGUGGAGGAGGAAAGUCAGGCUACAGCCAGUGAAGGCACCGAGAUGGAAGCACUUCGUUCUCGCUCUUGAAUUCGUGGGAAUUCACAUGCAAACACGCACCCGUGGUCUCGAAAGCACGCAACGGUAUUUGAGAAACGAAGAGCUCCCCGAAAAUAACUUCCUGGAGCCCAACAGCAGAGCCAUCAACGCAAUGAGAGCACACGGUGCCGAGAAGCAGUGAGAGGUUGUGAUGCUGACUCGGGUUUUAAGGGCAUGGGGCACUCAGAGCACGGACACAGCUCUGCUUUACACGGCUGCUCCGAUUCAACGUAAGCCUCAUUUACAGGAUGGCCCAUUUCACUGAAAUGGGAAUGUUUGGAGUAAGGACAGCCUAUUAAAGUAUUCAAUACAAGAGGUUUAAAGCAGUGCAGGUGCAACUAAAUCAUAAAUGCAGGCUGCGCUCUUAACUGGCAAUGCUGUGUGCAAGACAGGGGUGUGAAAAUGCAGUGUGUUGGGUUACAUCUAUUCUAGAACCUUUUGUUUGCUUUAAGUUCUGCCUUAUCUCAGAAGCAAAGCACUUGAUUUGAUGGUUGGAAAAAGUUUCAUCUCCAAAUAUAGGAUUGCUCUCUAUUCCUCCUCCCUACGCUAUUUGGAAGCAUCUAGAAAUAAGGUUUCACAGCUGGCAGAUCCUGAGCUGUACCUGCCCCUUCCCCUUGUGCCAUAAGGGGAUGCCAACUGGAGCCAACUCUCCCUGCUGAUCAGUGCAUCAUUUGGAGAUGCACACAUCCCAUUUAUAAGCACUGAACAAAAAAAUGCUUUCUAACUUACAAAUGCAUAAGUAAACAUUUGAUAACUUCACCACCACCUCAUCUUCCCCAAAUAGAAAAGACUGUAACCAUCACAUCCUCAAGUCCUCCAUUCAUUCCAGUAAGUAGGUGCUUUUCUCACUAGAACAGAAAAGCACAUCUGCUAGGUUUUAUAUCCAGCUUUUUAAGAUACUUUUACUGCCUUUUGCCUAGCAUAGCUUUUGGAACACGUUAGCAAAUAUUUUACCAUUGGGAGUGUAUGUUCCAUUUUAUUUUAUAAUGCAGACUUAGAAGCCCCAGCACUGAGUUUGUUUCUCUAAGCAUACAGAGCCUCAAACUAACAAGCACAUUUGGGAAGAACACUUCAGGUGGGUCUAUGUUUGUGCUGGAAGUCCCCCUCAUUUUCCAGCUUACGGAAAACAAUGAAGGUCAGCUUCCAAUGUAUCUUAGGAUAUCAAUUACCCAUGUUGAUCUUCAACUCAAGAAGCAAAAUUUGGGUUAUCAGAGCCUUUAUAUAGUUCCACCACACACACUUUGUGACAGAACUCCAGCUGGGAAAUGCAUCCUCCAUAAGAAACCAGACAAAUGCAGACACACUGAAGAGCAGAAUCACAUCCACUCAUUAACAUGAGCCUAAAGCAGUCCCCAGUCCUAUGAACAUUCUUAUCCUUAACCUAUAUUAGCCACCAGAGUGGUCUUACAAGAAUUACUUGACAAUAUACACAUGCUUAACCAUCUGUACAGCGUGGGCCUCCUUUUUAUUUCUUGACUCAACUCAAUUCUGUCUUAAACAGGUGUCUAAUUUCCAUUACAUGAAUACUCAAUCUGAAGCCAUGCCACAGGGACACUCUGCCAACUCACUUCCCCUCUUUAAGCCCCACACUGGAUGAUAAUCUGAUUUUUUUCCCAUGUUUCAAAAUAUAAAGAGCUGUGAACACAACUUUUUGUAGGAGGAACCUGAACCCAGUGAGCAAGGAAACUCACUUAUCAAGAUUCUGAAUCUGGCUGGAGGUUAUUGGUGCUGCCAUCAUACAAAUUACCAGGAAGGAGAAGAUCUCUCUUGGGGAUGGUCAAUAAUCAAAACAUCUGCCUUCCAUGCCUCCUUUUAAAGCAUCUGGUACUUGAAGCUAAGAUAUAACAUACAAGAAGCUUAAUCUAAUCUGACUAGUCCUAUGUUCUUUCCAUAAGGCAAGAAGGAAGUAGUUAGAAGCUCAGUAUAUCAUAAUUAGAGCUUCACAACAUUGGAGAGACAGCUCUGCUCUUCUCUGAAGUGUAUUUAAUAAUUUCAAGAGUAUUGCAGUGUUUUUCUUCUUGAUUUGGUAGAACUGAACCCAUUGCACUCCUGACUCCAUGAAGCUCACUGGACUCCACCCGCAGCAAACCACAUUUCAGCAGCUGCCAGUCUGCGUGACCAGAUUCUGAUCCUGCAAAUGUUUGCACUUUCAUACAGGCAGUGAGGCUGAGGAUCCAUAGCACCAAUGGUUCACAGCAGAUUUCUACAGGGUGAGGGUCCCACAACUCCAAGCUUCCAUUUUUUGAGUUCAUUCUAAAUUAUUAGCACCUACCUCCAUUCCAGACCCUUCCUAGGGGAAGGAGCAAUCCACCAUGAGUUUUACACCUCCUGUGCUAUUCGGUUAC